UACCCAGGGUGACCAUCUACUGGUGCACUGCAGUGCUGGGAUCGGCCGGACAGGAGCCUACAUCGCCCUGGACUACCUGCUGGACCAGGCUCUGGCUGAAGAUGCGGUGGAUGUGUUUGGUUGUGUCUCGGGGAUGAGAGACCAGAGGAAGGGCAUGAUACAGACCAAGGAGCAGUACACGUGUGUGUAUACG